rnacentral:tRNA from 2 species
UGGGUUGUAGCUCAAUGGUAGAGCACUUGUCUUGCAUGCAUGAGACCCUGGGUUAGAUCCUCAGCACCACAU